UACGGGGGGGGCAAGCGUUGUUCGGAAUUACUGGGCGUAAAGAGCGUGUAGGCGGCUCGAUAAGUCUGCUGUGAAAGUCCAGGGCUCAACCCUGGAAGGCCGGUGGAAACUGUCGGGCUAGAGUCCGGAAGAGGCGAGUGGAAUUCCCGGUGUAGCGGUGAAAUGCGCAGAUAUCGGGAGGAACACCAAUGGCGAAGGCAGCUCGCUGGGACGGUACUGACGCUGAGACGCGAAAGCGUGGGGAGCAAACAGG
rnacentral:rRNA from 1 species